AUGCACGCUGGCGGCGUGCCUCAUCCCUGCCAGUCGAGCGAACAGACGAGGAGCUUGCUCCUCUGACGUUAGCGGCGGACGGGUGAGUAACACGUGGAUAACCUACCUAUAAGACUGGGAUAACUUCGGGAAACCGGAGCUAAUACCGGAUAAUAUAUUGAACCGCAUGGUUCAAUAGUGAAAGACGGUUUUGCUGUCACUUAUAGAUGGAUCCGCGCCGCAUUAGCUAGUUGGUAAGGUAACGGCUUACCAAGGCAACGAUGCGUAGCCGACCUGAAAGGGUGAUCGGCCACACUGGAACUGAGACACGGUCCAGACUCCUACGGGAGGCAGCAGUAGGGAAUCUUCCGCAAUGGGCGAAAGCCUGACGGAGCAACGCCGCGUGAGUGAUGAAGGUCUUCGGAUCGUAAAACUCUGUUAUUAGGGAAGAACAAAUGUGUAAGUAACUAUGCACGUCUUGACGGUACCUAAUCAGAAAGCCACGGCUAACUACGUG
rnacentral:rRNA from 1 species